AUUGAACGCUGGCGGCAGGCCUAACACAUGCAAGUCGAGCGGAUGAAGGGAGCUUGCUCCUGGAUUCAGCGGCGGACGGGUGAGUAAUGCCUAGGAAUCUGCCUGGUAGUGGGGGAUAACGUCCGGAAACGGGCGCUAAUACCGCAUACGUCCUGAGGGAGAAAGUGGGGGAUCUUCGGACCUCACGCUAUCAGAUGAGCCUAGGUCGGAUUAGCUAGUUGGUGGGGUAAAGGCCUACCAAGGCGACGAUCCGUAACUGGUCUGAGAGGAUGAUCAGUCACACUGGAACGGAGACACGGUCCAGACUCCUACGGGAGGCAGCAGUGGGGAAUAUUGGACAAUGGGCGAGAGCCUGAUCCAGCCAUGCCGCGUGUGUGAAGAAGGUCUUCGGAUUGUAAAGCACUUUAAGUUGGGAGGAAGGGCAGUAAGUUAAUACCUUGCUGUUUUGACGUUACCAACAGAAUAAGCACCGGCUAACUUCGUG
rnacentral:rRNA from 1 species